AGGAAGAGAAGGAACGGGAUCUGGCUGCCAGCAGCAUUGAACGGAUGCUGGCGUACGCCAUCAAGCUGCCCAAACUGACCCUGGAUUCCAUCGAAGCUGCUCUGCCCCCCAAAGAGAGAAGAGGAACUCCAGGUAGAGGACUUGGAAUGAGACAGUGUGAGAGAGGAG